UACGUAGGGGGCAAGCGUUGUCCGGAUUUAUUGGGCGUAAAGAGCGUGUAGGCGGCCUGACAGGUCUGCUGUGAAAACUCGAGGCUCAACCUCGAGAUGUCGGCGGAAACCGUCUGGCUAGAGUCCGGAAGAGGAGAGUGGAAUUCCUGGUGUAGCGGUGAAAUGCGCAGAUAUCAGGAGGAACACCUAUGGCGAAGGCAGCUCUCUGGGACGGUACUGACGCUGAGACGCGAAAGCGUGGGGAGCAAACAGG
rnacentral:rRNA from 1 species